GAUACAUAGUGUUAUAAGAGAACUUAGUGUUGCUACAUAAUGCUCUAAGAAAUUUAACAUGGAUUAUUUAUACAAUGAGGGAAGUAUAUAGCGAGAGAUACAUCAUAUAGAUGGUUGUGAUUAUGAAGCGAUAAUCAUAACAUAGAGCCUUCACUGUAGGUGCCAUCGGUAUAAAAAAUGACUUCUUUGUCUAAGCAUCUCUUCAUAAUGGGUGUUAUCGAUGACCAGCAAUAUAUUUUGCUUGUGACAACAUAUGCAUAUUAAAUAACUUUCUAUUAUUGAUCUAUCAUCCGAGUAAUGUUAGACAUGUAUUGGUUGAUAACACAUAUAACGGCAUACCAAAGACACUUCUCAUUAUUAACUUCAACUAAAUCAAAACUUGAUGUGUAUCAAGAGCAGUAGUAUUAGAGCUGACCAAGCUUCCAAACCAUGCGAGUAAAAUUAUUUAAAGACCCACUAUAAAAUCCUUGAAGCAUAAAGAAAUAGAUAUUUAGGUAUGAUGUUCAUACAAAGUGUUAUAUAUUUCCUUGCAUCAUAGUUUUAUAGGCAAACACCUAAUAAAAAAUAUAUAUAAGAAAGAGAGUAAUUUCGAUAAAAUACAACUCUUUCUCACUGUUACAAGUAUUAUAUCCCUGUCAAAGCCAUGGUGGUAGUCAUUGUUCUUAUAUAUAAAGUUCUUUAUAUUAAUAAUACAAAAUAAUAAUUACAUCAAUCUGCUAUACUAAUUGAUUCUCUACUCCCCAUCAAUCCGCUAUACUAAUUGAUUCUCUACUCCCCAUCAAUCCGCUAUACUAAUUGAUUCUCUACUCCCCAUCAAUCCGCUAUACUAAUUGAUUCUCUACUCCCCAUCAAUCCGCUAUACUAAUUGAUUCUCUACUCCCCAGGUAUUUUCCGCUUCCACGAUUGACAUCUGCAGCAUGAGAGAGAGAGAGAGAGAGAGGUGUUCGAUGGAGAGAGCGUCGAGGCAGUGGCAGCAGGCAGGACACGAGAGGGCGGCUGCAAGGGGUGAGGAGGGAACGAAGAAAGUGAGUGAUCCAAGUGUGCCCGACCACGCCGACGCAGACCGACGCUCGGUCGGCGACUCCCACUCCUCUUUCCACUCUCUUCUCCCCUCCUUACAUUCCUUCUCUCUCCCUCUCAUCUUCUUUGUCUCCUGCAUGGACCGAUCCAUGGCGCUGCAUCGAAUCGAGCAUCGUCGUCGUCGCCCAUUGCCUGCUGGUCACCGCCGCCGCCGAAAAAGCUCGCCUCCGCGCCCCAUGCCUCGGAUGCUCCUCAUGCAUCUGCCCCCUUGCUCUCCUCGCUGUGCUCACGCCCCGCAAACCACGUGCUUGUGCCGACGGGGAGAGUAGAGGAGUAGACGACCACGACCUCCUCCUCCUCACGCAUGUGCCCCUCCCUCCGAUCCAUGGCGCUGCAUCGAAUCGAGCGUCCCCGUCAUCGCCCAUGGCUUGCAGGUCACCGCCGCCGCCGAAGAAGCUCGCCUACGCGUCCGCAUGCCUCGGAUCCGGCAGGCGCGCUGCCCCCUGGUCCUCCUCCUCAUGUAUCUGCUCUCUUCAUCUCCUCGCUCUCCUCACGCCCCGCGAUAGUGUCCUGAUCACUCGAACCCAUCUGGGUGGAGAACACCUAAUUUAGGUGGUCAGAUCCUUAUAUAACAGUAAGUUCACCAUGUCAGCCUAGUAAAAUCCAAUCUAAACACCAUGAAAUUUACAGAAUAAAAUACAAACAAGCAUGCUCAGUUAAAUCCUGCCUAUAGAUUAUAGAACUGUGAAAUGCCUAAACGAUGAUAUGCUAACACCUUCUACAAGCAUUCUGUCACUUAGCUGGUGUCAAAAUAACAACACAAUCAGCCAUGUUUAUCAAUAUAGAAGUUAUGUGGUUGUGUCGAUAUAAAAGACGCUGCACAAUAGUACCUUGGGUGGCAUCAGGAAGAUAGCCUUUCUGGAGGUGGCUCAGGCUUGUCCUGCAAACAACCCAUUAUAUAUAUCGGCAACAAACCAUGCGCGUGUGCGCGCACGCACACACACAUACAAGGAAAGAGAACCAUUGUUCUUCAGUUAUUUCCAUGUAAACAGAUUUUGAACGACAAUGUGAGAACAUGAGGACAUAAAGAUCACAAACAACAGUACAGGAAACAUAAACAUUCAUGUAGCGACCCUGUUAAAUAUUGUUCCCACUCAGCAGCUAUCCCAUAGAUAGAAAGGCGAACAACAAGGAACACAUGUAUGAGAUAAAUGGUGACCUACAGUCUUAUGUAGGCGCAUCAAUAAACUACACAACAUUCUUGGAGAAAAUAGAGAAUGCAAGAAAAUACAUACAAAUGCAUUGAGUCAAUAAUCAAAUAACAUACUUCUUAUUGUCUAUUUUGCUUGUAAUAACAAAGCCAAAACCAUUUGCUAUUUCAAACGUAAACUCACGCAUCUCUUUUACAAAUCAGACAAGAGCACCUACCAUCAAGAGCAGCCUGAAACAACGUCAUGAAGCAAGAAACAACAGUGGCACUAAAAACAUACUUUACUUUUGUAAGUGCGAACUUCUACUUCCAUCCAGCGACCAAAUUAUAGGACUGCCUUCUGCAAGGAUUUGAAGAAAAGAGUUACCCCAAAUGCAGACUUCUACAUAUGAGAAACUGCAACAACCUGCUUGUCCUCUUGUACAAAUUCCUCAUAUGAACAAUCAUAUUUCCAUGUGUAAAAUAUAAAUACAAAAUACUGGUUAUUCUACCCAUACAAGACAAGCUGAAGAAUAAUAAUCUAACCUUUCAUGGAUCACCAUAAUAAAAGCUAUUGUAGAAAAUAAUUUGGGCAAUCAAUUUCUGUGAGACCAAAAAAUGCAAGAAAAGCCGAUUAGUUGGGUCAGAAUAUUGCACCACUCGAUCAUCUCGGCAUUAUAGUUGCAGCCACCCAUAAAAACCAUGAAUGCUUCACACUAAAUAGGCAUAUACAUCGGAAUUUAGAGGGGAAUCACCGGAUGUAGUGUGCUAUGAGGCUGUUGAACUUGGUUGUCAUGUUGUCACUGCGCUGGAAACCUCGCUGAAAAGAUUCAAGAAGAAGCACCUAGUUGAGAGAGGGAGGCAAGGUAGAUGAAGAGAUAGAUCGGGAUGGAGUACAGGAGGGGAAAGAGAAACGGGGGAGGAUGAGCAUACCUGCAGCGUUCAUGGACUCUGCGAAUAUAAACGGUGGCCGUUGUUGUUGUCCUCGCGAGAACCUGAUGGAUACCCAAACCCUAGGUGCAAAAUAAAAAUUAAUUUAGGGAGGAAGAAAUCAAAAGGAGGCUCUUACACAGGAGGAAGUCCAAGGAUGCACUGAUCCAACUCCCUUGCUGCGUCCACCAUUUUCGUGUAAAUAGGUGAAAAGUGGAAAAAGGAGAUGGGAUAGGGGCUCACCUAUUCAACAAUCUCAAUAAGGCCACGCUGCCGGCGGAGAGGAUGCAUCGACCCCUUCCCCUCCUCACCCUCACGCCCCGCGACCCGCGCGCUUGCGCCGACGGGAGAGGGGAGGAGCCCACGGCCACGGCCUCCUCCUCCUCACGCAUCUGCCACUACCUCUCCUCACGCCCCGCGACCCCGCGCCGACGGGAGAGGAGAGGAGCCGACGGCCACGACCUCCUCCUCCUCACGCAUCUGCCACUCCCUCUCCUCGCUCUUGCGGCUGCCCGGUCGCUUCUCAUUUCCUUCUUAUCUCGCAGGAUUUUUUUACCUCUCGCGCGACGCGCUUGGCGGCGGCGGGCAGCGAGGUCGUGCGGGUCCUGCGGAGCGUGGCGGCGGACGAGGGAUGGAGGGAGGAGGGAGGGGGCUGGUGUGCUGUGGAUUGGGGGCUGGGUUUAUACGCUAGCGUGAAAUGACGAAAAUGCCCCCGUCGGGGCAUGGAAUUUACAGGCGGUGGCAGGCCGGUGGCAAGCACUAUUCAUAGCGUUAUAGGAAGCAACGUGGAUGGCUUCCUCCUGGCUAGGAGUCUAGCAUCUUUUAUAAAGAGAAAUUAAUAGGCUGAGUUCUUAGGUGAUACAAUCUUUUAGAUGAAUAUGCCCAUAUAGUUGACCAUGCGUUUCUUCUCAUAAAUUCGCAAUUAAAAUAUAUCCGGAUCUGCCUCUCCUGCUACUUUCUAUGACCG
rnacentral:lncRNA from 1 species